GGAUUGCUUGAGGUUGGGAGGUCGAAGCUGCAGUGAGCCAUGAGUGUGUCACUGCACUCCAGCCUGGGUGACAGAGUGAAACCCUGUCUCAAAAAAUAAAAAUAAAAGUAAAUACAAAAUUCCUCCUAUAGUUAGCCUGGAAUGAGCAAAGACAGCUUGUGAGGUUAGAAGGAAGAUGGAGUCAGUUAUGUUAGAUUUCCCUCACUCAUAAUUUUUGCAAAAGUAGUUAGUCUUUCUUGAUUAAGUCCUCCUGGUUGCUGUAAGCUUUUGCUUAGGUUCUAGAAUUCUAAAAAAGUUGAUUCUGGCAGUUUUUGCCAGUUUAUUUAUUGCUUUUUUGGAGGGACUUUUGAUGUUCCUUAUUCUUCCCUGUUCAUGGAUGUCACCCCUACAUGCUUUUCUUACAAUGUGACUUUUGCAGUCCUCUCACCAAGAGGUGGGGCCUAUGUUCCAUUCUAUGAGACUGGGUGGGACUUACGACUGCUCCAACCAAACAAGGACAACAGAGGCCAUGGUUUGUAACUUUCUAAGCUAGGUUAUGAUACAGCUUCUAGCUGACUCACUUUUUUCAAGAGCUGGGGUUAGACAAUUGCUCUGGGGAAGUCAGCUACCACACUGUGAGAAGCCCAGAUUCACCCAUAUGGAGAAAAACUAAGGCCUCAAGCUGACAGCCAGCCUUGACCUCCAGACACAAGAAUAGGCUGGUCUUCAGAUGCUUCCAGCGUCCAGCCUUCAAGCUCUCUAGUAGAGACCCCAGACUUCAGAGAAAAGCUGUCCCUGCUGUGCCCUGUCUGAAUUCCUGACCCACAGAAUCUUUUGUCUCUUCCAGAAUUGAAGCUGUAAAGCUACAAAUGAUUCUUCAAAUGGAGCCCCAGAGGCAGUCCAUGACUAAAAUCUACUGCGGACCCUUAGACCGGCCUGCCAGCCCAUGCUCCAAUGUUGAUGACAUCCAAGGUCUGUGUUUGUUCCGGUUCGAACUGAGCUUUCGCUCGCCAUCCACCACUGCUGAUUGCUGUCGUCGCAGAUGCCGCCGCUGACUUCCACCCCUCCGGAUCCGGCAGGAUGUCCACUGCACUUCUGAUCCAGUGAGGCAGCGCCCACUGCUGCUCCCAAUCAGGCUAGAGGCUCACCAUUGUUCCUGCGUCAGCUAAGUGCCUGGGGUUCAUCCUAAUCAAACUGAAGAGAGCUAUAACACUCAUUGCAUGGCCCAAGAUUCCAUUCCUUGGAAUCCGUGAGGCCAAGAACCCCAGGUCAGAGAACAAGAGGCUUGCUGCCAUCUUGGAAGUGGCCUGCCACCAUCUUGGGAGCUUUAAGAACAAGGACCCCCCAGUAACACCAUGAUUCAAUUACCUCCCACUGGGUCCCUCCCAUGACACAUGGGAGUUAUGGGAACUACAGUUCAAGAUGAGAUUUGGGUGGAAACACAGCCAGACCAUAUAAGGCCUGUGGCCACAGCAUGUCUGACUGUUGGAAGAACACAAGGAGGCAGAGGGACGAACAGAGAGAAGGAAAGGUGUAAAGGCAGACCUUGUUAGGCCUUGUAAAGCAUUUUAAUGAUUGGGGUUUUUAGUCUGAGUACAAGGAGUUCUGAGUGCUGAGUGAUGAGUGCUGAAGGGUUUUAAGCAGAAGAGAGAUGACGAUGUAAGCUUUUUUUUUUUUUUUUUUUUAAGACAGGGUCUCACUCUGUUGCCCAGGCUACAGUGCAGUGGCACAAUCUCAGGGCCCCCUGCAGCCUUGACCUCCCAGGCUCAGGUGAUCUUCCCUCCUCAGCCUCCUGGGUAGCUGGGACUACAGGUGUGUGCCACCAUGCCUGGCUAAUUUCUUGUAGAGUCAGGGUAUCACCAUGUUGCCCAGGCUGGUCUUGAACUUCUGGGCUCAAGUGAUCCUCCCUCCUGGGCCUCCCAAAGUGCUGGGAUUACAGGCAUGAGCCACGUCAGGCCUAAUUUAGCUUUUAGAGAGAUCAUUUUGACUUCUGUAUUAAGGACACACCUUAGCAAAUGAUGGAAGAAGAGAGACUAAUUUUUAUAAGUUAUUAUAAAAAUCCAGGAGAGAUAGCAGUGGUUUGGACUAGAUAGUGGCAGUGGAUGAAUUCUAGUAUACUUUAAAGGUAGAGCAGAAAGGAUUUGGGGUGUGCGAGAGAGAAGAGAUGAGGAUUGCUCCAAAAUUUCAGUGUGAGCAACUGAAAGACGGGUUGUCUCUAACUUGGGUGGAAGGAAUGCAUUUAAAGAGAUUAGAUCAGAAUGUGUUAAACUUGGGAAGCCUUUCAAGUGAAGAUGCUAUAAGGGUAGUUGAAGACACAGAUCUAUGGUAUUGAGGAUAGAGGUCUGGCCUGGAGCACCUGGGAAAUGUCAGCCCAUGGCAAUAUUUAAAACUGGAAUACCGGACAAGGUCACUCAGAGAGUGAGUGUGGGUAGGAAAGACGAGUUGCCAGGACGGAGCCAUGGGGUACUCCAGUGUUGGGAUGGCAGGGAGAAUGUGGCCCAGCAGAGGAAGCUGGGUGGAGAGAGAAGCAGGAGGCAAAUUAAAAGGGCACAAUAUUCUGAGAGCCAAGUAAAAAUGUUUUAAGCAGAGAGGUGGCGAGGGGGGUGAUCAAAUUGUGAAGUGUUGCUUAUCGAUCUAGGUACGGUAAGAAAAGCACUGAGAAUCAAAUAGUGCCAACCCCACAGAUGGUCUCUUUCCUCUCUUUCUGAAUUAUGAUGGCUUCUCUAAUGAUUCUUUGGAACUUGCGCCUCAAAGGAAUGACAAUGACUAAAGAAGUUGAGGAUCCUGUGGCGGUCACUGGGCUGUUCACAAACGCAUCUCCCAUUGUGGGCACAUGGUAGGAGUGCCAUGCUUAGAGAAGGCCACUCGGUUUCCUUUGCCAGUGAAAUGUAAGCUAAGGAAAGUUUGCCAUUCCUGGCAGGAGCUCUGAGAGCCAGGGAGCAGUCUGCCACAUUUCCUUGGCAGUGAGCAACUGUGGAAGCAUGUGCCGAGAGGAAACGUCUAUCAGCCAUGGUCGGAGUUGUUACAAUGAGCAGAAUCCCCUGCUGAACUUGGAUAGACAUCCAGUAUGAGAAAUAAACUUUAGUUUUAUUAGUUUUAUGUUGGGACAGCAAAACCUAAACUAUCCUGAGGACGCAAUGCCUAAAUACAAAAAUAAUAUAAACAGUGGUAUCCAGUCUCCAUUGAUAACCAGUAGAUUAUACAUUUCAGGAUACGAAAUUUUACUUUUCCACACCAGGGAUAGAGAAAAUCCAGCAAAUAACAUAGAUGAUAAAACUUGACCUCAUUGUAAGUUCGCUUUUUUUUGUUUUUUUUUUUUUUUUUGGAAUGGAGUCUCGCUCUUUCUCCCAGGCUGGAGUGAUGUAGUAGUGUGAUCCUGGUUCACCGCAACCUCCGCCUCCUGGGUUCAAGCAAUUCUCCUGCCUCAGCCUCCCAAGUAGCUGGGAUCACAGGCAUGUACCACCACGCCCGGCUGAUUUUUGUAUGUUUUAGUAGAGACAGGGUUUCACCAUGUUGACCAGGCUGGUCUUGAACUUGUGACCUCAGGUGAUCUGCCUGCCUCGGUCUCCCAAAGUGCUAGUAUUACAGGCGUGAGCCACCUUAUGGGAUCACUGUCUUAUAUUCAGUGUUCUUUUGACUGAAACAUUGCUAUGGGUGCAUGGCUAUAUUUGGUCUUUGUCCCCAGUUCCUGCACAGAACUUCUAAAACCGUUGACGUUUACUGAGAGAGGUGUCUUUUGUUCUACAUAAUGAGCCCCUUUUGAUCACACUUGAGUUUAUGCUAAUGAGGUUACUUAGGGUGGGGCCCCUGGAUAGACUCAGGCUCAGGCUGGUCAGCAGAAACACCUCCUGACCUUUGAGCUUUGGGGAGAGAGGGCAUCUGGAGAUCCAGCUCCAUAAAAUAAACUCUUGAAUGGUACGAUUUGGACAGCUCCCAGGUAGAUGAACACAGCGAGGUGCUGGGAGGAUGAUGCGCUCUGGGUGGGCGUGGAGCUCCAUGCACCUCCCCAUGCCUUGCCCUAUGCUUCUUUUCAAUUUGGCUCUUCCUAAGUUGUAGCCUUCAUCAUAAACCUGCAAAUGUAAGGAUUUUCCAGAGUUCUGUGAGCUGUUCUAGCAAAUUAUUUGAACCUUAAGCGGGCAGUGUGUGGGAGCCCCUUCGACUUUGUAGCCAAUAUGGACAGAAGUGAGGGUCACCGGUGGACCCAGUAUCUGUGACUGGCAAUGGAAGUGAGGCAGUCUUGUGGGACUCAGCCCUUAAACCUGUGGAACCUGACACUAACUCCGGGUAGUUAGUGUCACAAUUGAAUUGUAGAUACUCAAUUGGUGUCCGGAAGAAUCAGAGAAUUGGUUGAUGGUGUUGGAAAACACCCUACCAAUAUAACACUUAAGUUCAUUUUUAGCAUAAUAUCUGACUGGGUUUUCAGAUGUUUUAAUAUUAGAGAAGAAAUGGUGGUGUAAGAGACAAAGAAAUAACAAUUAUGCAUAAAAGAAUUUUAUUUAGUGGCCAGAUCCCAAUGAAUAAUGUCAGUCAUUGCUUGGUUCUGCUAAAAUGUGGUAUUAGAUAUAUUCUUAAGAAAGUGUACAAUUGCAUCACCAAAAGCUGUUUAAUUUGGAUUGUGUAGAAUAAAAGAAAACUACAUAAGUCUUUGUUCUUUGAUAAAAAUUUUAAAAUAUAAAAAUGAAAAAAAGAAACCCAAAAGCAGUAUUCAAAACUAACAAAUGUCACCUUGGACUAUUUACAGUAAGACGCCUUUUUGACAGGAGAAUCUUGUUCUCAGCUUGUUCUUUUCCUCACAUUUUACUUACAGGGAUUCUCACUCCCCCAUCUGAUCCCUAUUCAUAACUUCUUCCAUUCCUGUCUCACAUGAAACAGCCAUCUUCCAUGCUCUCUCACUCAUCUUUGAGUCUCUCUCUGACACUCCUUUUUCCUACUCUUAAAUUAUUAAUAAUUCUAUUCAACAGACAUUUAUUGAGCACCUAGUAUGUGCCAGGCACUGUGUUAAGAGGUGGGGAACAAUACAGAGAUGAAAAGACAUUGACCUUUUCCUCAAGAAAUUCAGACUUUGGGUUGAAUUAAAAAACGUUUUUCUUUUUUUCUUUUUUUUUUGAGAUGGAGUUUUUAGCUCUUUUUGCCCAGGCUGGAGUGCAAUGGCGUGAUCUCGUCUCACCGCAACCUGCCUCCCGGGUUCAAGUGAUUCUCCUGCCUCCGCCUCCUGAGUAGCCGGGAUUACAGGCAUGCGCCACCACACCAGGCUAAUUUUGUAUUUUUUUUAGUAGAGACGGGGUUUCUUCACAUUGGUCAGGCUGGUCUCGAGCUCCCAACCUCAGGUGAUCCGCCCGCCUCAGCCUCCCAAAGUGCUGGGAUUACAGGUGUGAGCCCCACACCCAGCCUAAAAAAUGUUUUUCAUAUUAUAUUCCAGGUAAUCCCAGACCUCUAUGGGGUAAAUCUGGGGAUUUCUUGGAAGAAAGUGCACUCAUGGAGGGUCUGUCCACUUGGCUCACUCCAACAGUUUGAAUUUGGAAUUCUGCUUUUCUUCAUGAAGCACAGUCUCAUAAGCCCACACCUACGGUCUGAGUUCUGAACUCUCAGCAGGUGGGAACUGGGAACUGCGGGUUGGCUAGCAGGGGGGCCAGCUGUGUCAAUUUGGUUUUUAGGAAGGGUAUUCUUUUAAUUGGCUUCUACAAAUUCCAAAUUUGAAAAGCCCUUAAUCCAAAAAAAAAAAAAACCCUACUAAAUUUGAGCAAAAGAUACAUAUUAACAAAGUCUCCCCUGAUUUGGACUUGCAACAAGAUACUGUAAGGUGCCUAUCUUUGAUAAAUGUCCAGCAGCAGCUCUUUUUAUUACCUCUGCACAUCCAUAUUUCUUUCCAUUUUUCUGUGAUAUUUUCUUAGCUUCCCACGUAAGCCUGCAGGUGACCUCAGUUUUUCUUUGAUCAUGGUUGAACCCAAAGCAAGCUCAGCUCUUGCAUUUGGUCUACAUCUUUGUCCAU
rnacentral:lncRNA from 1 species